GCAAACUCAUUGCAGCCUUUAAAGCAGGUUUCUACUACCACUUUAAUAUCUCAUUACAUGGGCAGUCCUGAGGGUGUUUAAAGAAACCAAAAUUCUGUCUGCAGAGCUGCUAGCUCUGCAAGGCCUGAGCUAGGCGUGAUGGGAGUCAAUGCUACAAACUCACCAAGUUUCUCUUGCCCAAAGGCACCUGGGAGGUAAUAUUGACAUUAUGGAGGCUAAAUACAGUGUGUUGUUUUGUCCUUGUGGCAUACAACACUGAUCUUGUCAAGUUGCUGAUCAAGGUGUGAAGGCUGACAGACUGUGGUCUUUGCAGAAGCAGGAACUCGAAUUUUAUGCCUCUGAAAAAGAGAAAUCUGUGGUUUUCACUUUGUGACAAAUAGUUCCUCGAACUCUGGUGUUUGACGGAAAGUAUGGGAUGGUCUCUUAUUAGUUAGAAAACAUCCUAAAUCUGGAGAUGUCUCCAAAUGAUUAGCUGUGGGUAUUUCUACUCAUUCCAAUCCUAGUUUUAUUGCACACAUGGGAACAACUUAUAUAAGCAGAACAACACACGUGCUCUUGAGUUAUCUUUGUUUAGCUAAUAUCUCUAAAAUAUUUUUAUAACUGUUUAGAAUAUGCAACCUGUACAAAGUAUAUGUGUGAUUAUGGUGUGACAAAAAGGUUUGUUUGUCACUUAUAUGUCUUAAAAUAACCUUGCAAGACAGAAGAUUUCUAUCACAUCAGAUAUUCUUGCCUUUACCCCUUUAUCUUGCUGGUCACUGUCAGUGCGCUGAUGGCACCUCACUAACUAUAGGGGCUGGGAGUUCACUCACAUCUUUCAACAUACCACUUCUAAUGUGGUGUUUCUAGUAUCCCAUUUUUGCCAACCUUUAACAGUUUUUCUUCUCUAUGCUAAGAUAAUCCACGUGGUAUUUAAAAAACUUUUACUGACUGACAAUUCUUCAUAGCUAUCAUUAAAGAGUGAUGAAUUCAGUCCAAAACACCAUGAAGCUAAUGAAAGUCUCUGCAUCGAUUUUUCUUCUUUUUUUUUUUUUUUUUUUCCUCUCCAUACUUUUCAAUGUCUGUGCUAUGUAUUCAUUUUGACAGAGUUUGGAUCAAUCUCAGAGUUCUAAGAUGAGCCAAAAGUGGAAAUAAGAGGUAAUGGAAACAAAAAUGAAGCAUAGGCUACAAAUGGGAAGAUUCUAAUAGCAUAUGAGUUUACAUAGCUGAUUUUUAUACAAACACAGAUAUAAGAGGAGACACAUUAACCUAGGUGUUAAUGUAUAGGUUGCAUCAUUUUAAUUACUCUAGAGUAUGUAAGAAAAUGAGUCUGGUAAAUAUUUCAUUAGUAACAGUAAUAAAAUAUUGAUUACAAUUUCUCUAUUAAUCCAUAUUACUUUGAUUCUGUA